rnacentral:rRNA from 1 species
AACGAACGCUGGCGGCAUGCCUAACACAUGCAAGUCGAACGACCCCUCCGGGGAUCGGCGGGCGGGUGUGUGUCGCGCGGGGAAAUGCCCCCCUCUGUGGGGUAGCCUUGGCAGACUGAGAGGAUAAUACCAUACGAUCUAUUCGGGAAAGAGUUAUCGGGCAAGGAUUUGCCCGCGUGGGAUUAUGGAGUUGGUAGGGUAAUAGCCUACCAAGGCGACGAUCCAUAGCUGGUGUGAGAGGAUGAUCAGCCACACUGGGACUGAGACACGGCCCAGACUCCUACGGGAGGCAGCAGUGGGGAAUAUUAGACAAUGGGGGCAAGCCUGAUCCAGCCAUGCCGCGUGAGUGAUGAAGGCCUUAGGGUUGUAAAGCUCUUUCAGCUGGGAAGAUAAUGACGGUACCGGGAGAAGAAGCCCCGGCUAACUCCGUG